GAUAGAACGUAGCGAAAUGCGAUAAGUAAUGUGAAUUGCAGAAUUCAGUGAAUCAUCGAGUCUUUGAACGCACAUUGCGCCCCCUGGUAUUCCGGGGGGCAUGCCUGUCCGAGCGUCAUUGCUGCCCUCAAGCACGGCUUGUGUGUUGGGCCCCGCCCCCCGGCUCCCGGGGGGCGGGCCCGAAAGGCAGCGGCGGCACCGCGUCCGGUCCUCGAGCGUAUGGGGCUUCGUCACCCGCUCCGUAGGCCCGGCCGGCGCCCGCCGGCGACCCCCCUCAAUCUUUUCAGGUUGACCUCGGAUCAGGUAGGGAUACCCGCUGAACUUAAGCAUAUCAAUAAGCGGAGGA
rnacentral:misc_RNA from 1 species